GACAGAGGAUGCAAGCGUUAUCCGGAAUGAUUGGGCGUAAAGCGUCUGUAGGUGGCUUUUCAAGUCCGCCGUCAAAUCCCAGGGCUCAACCCUGGACAGGCGGUGGAAACUACCAAGCUGGAGUACGGUAGGGGCAGAGGGAAUUUCCGGUGGAGCGGUGAAAUGCAUUGAGAUCGGAAAGAACACCAACGGCGAAAGCAGCUCUGCUGGGCCGACACUGGACACUGAGAGACGAAAGCUAGGGGAGCAUAUGGGAUUAGAAACCCCGGUGAGUCCAGACCCGAAGUCCUCAGACUC
rnacentral:rRNA from 1 species